rnacentral:rRNA from 1 species
UACGAAGGGGGCUAGCGUUGCUCGGAAUCACUGGGCGUAAAGCGCACGUAGGCGGAUUGUUAAGUCAGAGGUGAAAUCCUGGAGCUCAACUCCAGAACUGCCUUUGAUACUGAGGAUCUUGAGUUCGGGAGAGGUGAGUGGAACUGCGAGUGUAGAGGUGAAAUUCGUAGAUAUUCGCAAGAACACCAGUGGCGAAGGCGGGUCUCUGGGCCGUAACUGACGCUGAGGAGCGAAAGCGUGGGGAGCGAACAGG